rnacentral:rRNA from 1 species
GGAAAGGCGCGCGAUACAGGGUGACAGCCCCGUACACAAAAAUGCACAUACUGUGAGCUCGAUGAGUAGGGCGGGACACGUGGUAUCCUGUCUGAAUAUGGGGGGACCAUCCUCCAAGGCUAAAUACUCCUGACUGACCGAUAGUGAACCAGUACCGUGAGGGAAAGGCGAAAAGAACCCCGGCGAGGGGAGUGAAAAAGAACCUGAAACCGUGUACGUACAAGCAGUGGGAGCACGCUUAGGCGUGUGACUGCGUACCUUUUGUAUAAUGGGUCAGCGACUUAUAUUCUGUAGCAAGGUUAACCGAAUAGGGGAGCCGAAGGGAAACCGAGUCUUAACUGGGCGUUAAGUUGCAGGGUAUAGACCCGAAACCCGGUGAUCUAGCCAUGGGCAGGUUGAAGGUUGGGUAACACUAACUGGAGGACCGAACCGACUAAUGUUGAAAAAUUAGCGGAUGACUUGUGGCUGGGGGUGAAAGGCCAAUCAAACCGGGAGAUAGCUGGUUCUCCCCGAAAGCUAUUUAGGUAGCGCCUCGUGAAUUCAUCUCCGGGGGUAGAGCACUGUUUCGGCAAGGGGGUCAUCCCGACUUACCAACCCGAUGCAAACUGCGAAUACCGGAGAAUGUUAUCACGGGAGACACACGGCGGGUGCUAACGUCCGUCGUGAAGAGGGAAACAACCCAGACCGCCAGCUAAGGUCCCAAAGUCAUGGUUAAGUGGGAAACGAUGUGGGAAGGCCCAGACAGCCAGGAUGUUGGCUUAGAAGCAGCCAUCAUUUAAAGAAAGCGUAAUAGCUCACUGGUCGAGUCGGCCUGCGCGGAAGAUGUAACGGGGCUAAACCAUGCACCGAAGCUGCGGCAGCGACGCUUAUGCGUUGUUGGGUAGGGGAGCGUUCUGUAAGCCUGUGAAGGUGUACUGUGAGGUAUGCUGGAGGUAUCAGAAGUGCGAAUGCUGACAUAAGUAACGAUAAAGCGGGUGAAAAGCCCGCUCGCCGGAAGACCAAGGGUUCCUGUCCAACGUUAAUCGGGGCAGGGUGAGUCGACCCCUAAGGCGAGGCCGAAAGGCGUAGUCGAUGGGAAACAGGUUAAUAUUCCUGUACUUGGUGUUACUGCGAAGGGGGGACGGAGAAGGCUAUGUUGGCCGGGCGACGGUUGUCCCGGUUUAAGCGUGUAGGCUGGUUUUCCAGGCAAAUCCGGAAAAUCAAGGCUGAGGCGUGAUGACGAGGCACUACGGUGCUGAAGCAACAAAUGCCC